UACGUAGGGGGCAAGCGUUGUCCGGAAUCAUUGGGCGUAAAGAGCGUGUAGGCGGUCCGGUAAGUCGGCUGUGAAAGUCCAGGGCUCAACCCUGGGAUGCCGGUCGAUACUGCCGGACUAGAGUUCGGAAGAGGCGAGUGGAAUUCCCGGUGUAGCGGUGAAAUGCGCAGAUAUAGGGAGGAACACCUAUGGCGAAGGCAGCUCGCUGGGACGUUACUGACGCUGAGACGCGAAAGCGUGGGGAGCAAACAGG
rnacentral:rRNA from 1 species